AUAAAAAUGUGUGAAACACCUCAAAAACUGUGCAACAAAUGUAAAUCAGUAAUUACACGGGGAGAAUGGCAGAUUAGGAAGGUGAGACACUGGAUUAUAACAGGCCUCUCUGCCUUUGAAUGUGUGACAGCCACCCCUCCUCCCUCACUUGCCACAACACAGCUCAAAGAACGGUGCCUCCUUGCUGAAGGUUGGCGACAGCUGCCCAACAGUGCUUCAGCUAUUUGACAUGUAAGCUAAUGCCACAGCCUGAUUGGUUGACUCUGUUUAGCAAACGGAGAUGCAAUGCCUUCUGAGGCUGCAGGUUAAAUAUAGGAUGGCAUACUAACUACCUUUUUUUAGCACUUGAUUUGACUUCUCUUUGAAUCAAAAUAUAAUUUUCCCUGUAAAACAUGAGAAAUAGGUAGAACAGCUAAGGAAGAAGGACAAAAUAGCCAGACAGGUGCUGAGCUUUUGGAAAGAAGACAAGAUGGCCAGACUGCUGCCGAACUUUCAGAUACAUCCAAAGGCAGGCCUGGUCUGAGCUUGCUCGAGUCUUGCAGUUCUGGAUUGUUUGGUUACUCCUUCAAUGUGCAGCAGAGCCUUCACACUCCUUAUUCCUCAAUCAGCUGUCCUCCUGGAUCCAGAUGGCAGCACAGGAUGGAAAUGAUGGAAAUGAUGGAAGUCCGAGCAGAUGGAAAGCCAUGCAGGGAUUAAGGACAAAGCCUGUAAAAGAAUAAUGAGUCACCCUGGGCAAGUCUUGACAUUUGCUUUGGAAUGAAGAUUGAGGACAUCUGACAUGAUACAUUUUACACCACUGAGGACAGAAUACUGCUGUGCUGAGCAGGGUGCUACCGAGGGACCAAGACGGACAGCAGCAGCUGAAUGUCUCUCUCUCUCUCCCCCUCUGGAGAGUGGUAAUGGCCCUC